rnacentral:rRNA from 1 species
AUUGAACACUGGCGGCAGGCCUAACACAUGCAAGUCGAACGGCAGCACAGAAGAGCUUGCUCUUUGGGUGGCGAGUGGCGGACGGGUGAGUAACACGUAGGAAUCUACCCAGUAGUGGGGGGAUAACCUGGGGGAAACCCAGGCUAAUACCGCAUACGCCCUGAGGGGGAAAGCGGGGGAUCUUCGGACCUCGCGCUAUUGGAUGAGCCUGCGUCGGAUUAGCUAGUUGGUGGGGUAAGGGCCCCACCAAGGCGACGAUCCGUAGCUGGUCUGAGAGGAUGACCAGUCACACCGGAACUGAGACACGGUCCGGACUCCUACGGGAGGCAGCAGUGGGGAAUAUUGGACAAUGGGCGCAAGCCUGAUCCAGCCAUGCCGCGUGGGUGAAGAAGGCCUCGGUUGUAAGCCUUACGUGGGUAGGAAGGCGAUCUAUGCUAUACCAUGA